rnacentral:rRNA from 1 species
GAUGAACGCUAGCGGCAGGCCUAAUACAUGCCAGUCGGACGGGAUUCAGGAGCUUGCUUCUGAUGAGAGUGGCGCACGGGUGCGUAGCACGUAUGUAACCUACCUUUAUCAGGGGGAUAGCCUCUCGAAAGAGAGAUUAAGCCCGCAUAAAAUCACAGCACAGCAUUGUGUAAUGAUCAAAUAUUUAUAGGAUAAAGAUGGGCAUGCGGAACAUUAGCUAGAUGGCGGGGUAACGGCCCACCAUGGCGACGAUGUUUAGGGGAUCUGAGAGGAUGGCCCCCCACACUGGUACUGAGACACGGACCAGACUCCUACGGGAGGCAGCAGUAAGGAAUAUUGGUCAAUGGGCGGAAGCCUGAACCAGCCAUGCCGCGUGCAGGAAGACGGCCCUACGGGUUGUAAACUGCUUUUAGACGGGAAUAAACCCAGAUACGUGUAUCUGGCUGAAUGUACUGUAAGAAUAAGGAUCGGCUAACUCCGUG